rnacentral:lncRNA from 1 species
UUAAUUCACGUUCUGCAACUGCUGAGAGGCUGGUUACUGUGCUUAUGCACAGUAACCAGCCCAUUUAGUCUUGGGCCGGUUUGGCCCAGCCCACUGAUAUGGGCCGGACCCGGCCCAUUUCAUUUUUAUUUUUUUUUAUAUAGAAUUUUUACAUUUUUUCCAGCACAUGUUUUUAUCAAUUUUGCUUAAUAUCGAUAUGUAUUUUACAUCGUAAAAAUAUAAAUUCGGUAUUAAAAUACCCGGUUUUCGUCCCGCGGUACUGUUCAC